rnacentral:rRNA from 1 species
GAUGAACGCUAGCUACAGGCUUAACACAUGCAAGUCGAGGGGAAACGACAUCGAAAGCUUGCUUUUGAUGGGCGUCGACCGGCGCACGGGUGAGUAACGCGUAUCCAACCUGCCCACCACUUGGGGAUAACCUUGCGAAAGUAAGACUAAUACCCAAUGAUAUCUCUAGACGACAUCUGAAAGGGAUUAAAGAUUUAUCGGUGAUGGAUGGGGAUGCGUCUGAUUAGCUUGUUGGCGGGGUAACGGCCCACCAAGGCGACGAUCAGUAGGGGUUCUGAGAGGAAGGUCCCCCACAUUGGAACUGAGACACGGUCCAAACUCCUACGGGAGGCAGCAGUGAGGAAUAUUGGUCAAUGGGCGUGAGCCUGAACCAGCCAAGUAGCGUGCGGGACGAAGGCCCUAUGGGUUGUAAACCGCUUUUUCAGGGGGAUAAAGUGAGUGACGUGUCAUUCAUUGCAGGUACCCUGCGAAUAAGGACCGGCUAAUUCCGUG